UUCGUUAUUUGGCGAUCAUUUUAUCGUUAUUCCUUUUUGAACAAAAAAUGAAGAGUGUCUUUGAACUUCAGUCAAUUCGUUUUUCGUUUAUUGCAAGUGGUGCCCGCUGCAGAGCCAAAUGGGCGGAGCUGGAGCUCUAGCGAGGCGGGGCACCCUCGCUGGAUCUAGUGGGCGUGGCAGCAUCAAGUGCGCAGGCGCAGAUAGAGUUUGUUUAAACUUCAUGUACAGCCUGUAUCAAGUACUCCGGAGUAUUGCACGGUGCACCAGACAAUACUUUUGCGAGGACAGGAUCUUCUGCUCUCUAUAUCACGGUGCCUACUGUAAAUAAGCAUUUACACGAGCUCUGAAUCAUGCAGUUCAACAAAAAGAUUUUAUCAUCAAGCAUGGUCUCAAGUGCAGACGAUCCCACACUUUCACUGCUGUUACUGUACAUCAACAUUUUAAAAUGUGUAAAAAUCCAGCCUCUGGACAACCUUCCAUUGGCUGCAACACCACCUUCAUCCCCAGCAUCAGCAUCC